rnacentral:tRNA from 1 species
GAUGAACUAGCUCAGCGGUAGAGCGCGGGCCUCAUCAGCCCGAGGCGAAAGGUUCGAUUCCUUUGUUCAUCACCA